rnacentral:rRNA from 1 species
UAUUGGACAAUGGGGGAAACCCUGAUCCAGCGACGCCGCGUGAGUGAAGAAGUAUUUCGGUAUGUAAAGCUCUGUCAGCAGGGAAGAAGAAAGAAAUGACGGUACCUGAGUAAGAAGCCCCGGCUAACUACGUGCCAGCAGCCGCGGUAAUACGUAGGGGGCAAGCGUUAUCCGGAAUUACUGGGUGUAAAGGGAGCGUAGACGGUAAUGCAAGUCUGGAGUGAAAGGCGGGGGCCCAACCCCCGGACUGCUCUGGAAACUGUGUAACUGGAGUGCAGGAGAGGCAGGCGGAAUUCCUAGUGUAGCGGUGAAAUGCGUAGAUAUUAGGAGGAACACCAGUGGCGAAGGCGGCCUGCUGGACUGUAACUGACGUUGAGGCUCGAAAGCGUGGGGAGCAAAC